CUUUACCUACGGGGGGCAGCAGUGGGGGAUAUUGCACAAUGGGGGAAACCCUGAUGCAGCGACGCCGCGUGAGUGAAGAAGUAUUUCGGUAUGUAAAGCUCUAUCAGCAGGGAAGAAAAUGACAGUACCUGACCAAGAAGCCCCGGCUAACUACGUGCCAGCAGCCGCGGUAAUACGUAGGGGGCAAGCGUUAUCCGGAUUUACUGGGUGUGAAGGGAGCGCAGACGGCAGUGCAAGUCUGGAGUGAAAGCCCGGGGCCCAACCCCGGAACUGCUCUGGAAACUGUGCGGCUAGAGUACUGGAGG
rnacentral:rRNA from 1 species